UGGGGAAUUUUGGACAAUGGGCGAAAGCCUGAUCCAGCCAUGCCGCGUGAGUGAAGAAGGCCUUCGGGUUGUAAAGCUCUUUUAGUCGGAAAGAAAGAGUUGCAAUGAAUAAUUGUGAUUUAUGACGGUACCGACAGAAAAAGCACCGGCUAACUACGUGCCAGCAGCCGCGGUAAUACGUAGGGUGCGAGCGUUAAUCGGAAUUACUGGGCGUAAAGGGUGCGCAGGCGGUCUUGCAAGUCAGAUGUGAAAGCCCCGGGCUUAACCUGGGAAUUGCGUUUGAAACUACAAGACUAGAGUGCAGCAGAGGGGAGUGGAAUUCCAUGUGUAGCAGUGAAAUGCGUAGAGAUGUGGAAGAACACCGAUGGCGAAGGCAGCUCCCUGGGUUGACACUGACGCUCAUGCACGAAAGCGUGGGGGGCAAACA
rnacentral:rRNA from 1 species